rnacentral:rRNA from 1 species
GAUGAACGCUGGCGGCGUGCCUAAUACAUGCAAGUCGAGCGAACAGACGAGGAGCUUGCUCCUCUGACGUUAGCGGCGGACGGGUGAGUAACACGUGGAUACCCUACCUAUAAGACUGGGAUAACUUCGGGAAACCGGAGCUAAUACCGGAUAAUAUAUUGAACCGCAUGGUUCAAUAGUGAAAGACGGUUUUGCUGUCACUUCUCGAUGGAUCCGCGCCGCAUUAGCUAGUUGGUAAGGUAACGGGUUACCAAGGCAACGAUGCGUAGCCGACCUGAGAGAGUGAUCGGCCACACUGGAACUGAGACACGGUCCAGACUCCUACGGGAGGCAGCAGUAGGGAAUCUUCCGCAAUGGGCGAAAGCCUGACGGAGCAACGCCGCGUGAGUGAUGAAGGUCUUCGGAUCGUAAAGCUCUGUUAUUAGGGAAGAACAAAUGUGGAAGUAACUAUGCACGUCUUGACGGUACCGAAUCAGAAAGCCACGGCUAACUACGUG